rnacentral:rRNA from 1 species
UACAGAGGUCCCAAGCGUUGUUCGGAUUCAUUGGGCGUAAAGGGUGCGUAGGCGGCGCGGUAAGUCGGGUGUGAAAUCUCGGAGCUUAACUCCGAAACUGCAUUCGAUACUGCCGUGCUUGAGGACUGGAGAGGAGACUGGAAUUUACGGUGUAGCGGUGAAAUGCGUAGAUAUCGUAAGGAAGACCAGUGGCGAAGGCGGGUCUCUGGACAGUUCCUGACGCUGAGGCACGAAGGUCAGGGAGCAAACGGG